AUGAGUCAUUCUAGUGUAAGGCCAAAAUCCGAUAUAAUUACAAAUAGUUGCGACACAGUGGAAACCAGUGUAACAAAGCGAGAUGCUGACCAGGAGGAAGUUAUAUAUCUCUCAUCAGAUGAAGACUCCAGUGACGUUUUUCUGCCGAAAAAGAAGGCCAAGAAAAUAAAAUCUGCGAGAAUUGAGAUAAUUUCUGAAGAAGAUUCUCAUUCAGUGAAGCAAGCCUGUGUUCAGUCCUUUUUAAUUGAUGUCAGAAAUUACAUAAAUGAUCAUCUACUUUUCAUCAGUGCCAAUCGAUGUGAACCAGUUUUAUCUGUAUUGUACAAUGCUUUGCAAUCGCCGGGCAGCAUAUUCCCAAACCCCGCGUUGAAUGUGAAAUCCAGUUUAGACCCCAACCGCAGCCCCUUGUGCGGGUCUGAGACUCCUCCGCACCGGCCGCGCCGCGCCGCGGCUCGGCUCGGAUCGGCUCAGGCUGAUCCCUCUUCUUUCGAACAAACCAAGACACUCACAAUGCUGCCGAAACGGCCGCUUUAAUAGCAGAAGAUGUCACUGAUUUGGAGUCAGAUGCUGAGACAUUAGACAAGUCUUUCAAAUCUGUACCAUCAGGGUAAAAUUCUGAAUUAUCGCAAACGGAGAAUAGCCAAAACCAGUACCCUCCUGCAACACCCGACAACAUUCAACCUGUUUCAAAAAAGGCGAGAAUGGAGAGGAAAGAAGAUCCCACCAUCAAAAACAUGUACCUACAGUAAGUCAAAUUAUCAUCUGGCAAUUGUUAUUGAAAUUUCAUUCCACCCAUGAUAUAAUGCUCAUGUGUGUCCUUUCUUAAAUUUUUAUUGGAAAAAAUGCUCUAUCUCUGCAUUGAAUGGCGCACUCCAGCAGUACUCUUUUACGGGCUGGGCAUGCACAGAUAAGAUUACCGAUAUGUUUGCCAGUGGUGCGAAGAAAAAUAAACCUUGUUAGGAGAUGGUUCAUGGUACAAAGAGCCUCACCAAAAAGUGGUGUUUUUUAGCCCCUUUUUUUUAUACCCGAAUUGAUCAACCGGACUGUGCUCAAAUGGAAGCCUAUGGUAAGGGAAACUUCCAUGCAAAGUUUCAACUUGAAGUGACCCCCCGUUUAGCCUGUACAGCGUUGCCAAUUUUCCAUUUUCAUGUACUAAAAUCAAGGAAAUAUGGACUAUUAGUCCGGUGCAUAAGUAGACUAGUACACCCGAGUUGAUCAUCGAGACAAGGCUUAAACGAAAGCUUAUGGUAAGGCAAACUACCAGGAAAAGUUUCAACUUGAAGUGAAACCUCCUUCAGGCUCUACAGCGUAGCCAAUUUUCCAUUUUCAUGAGGCAAUAUCGACGAAUUCUGGAACAUCAUGGUUCAACAGAGUAGUACACCCGAGUUGGUCAUCGAGACAAGGCUUAAACAAAAGCUUAUGGUAAGGCAAACU
rnacentral:lncRNA from 1 species